AUUGAACGCUGGCGGCAGGCCUAACACAUGCAAGUCGAACGGUAGCAGGGAGCCUGUUGCUGCUUCGAUCGGCGGAGGGGGGCGGGAUGGCUAUGAAUCUGCCACUUCGUGGUGGAGGAGGUUCGCUAAUGGGAGCUGAUACCGCAUACGCAUAGCGUGAGAAGGUGGAAGAGGUGGGGCUUAGAGGCUCUCACCUUAGCCUAUGUCGGAUUAGCUAGUUGGUGGGGUAAGGGCCUACCUAGGCGACGAUCCGUAGCUGGUCUGAGAGGAUGAGCAGUCACACUGGAACUGAGACACGGUCCAGACUCCUACGGGAGGCAGCAGUGGGGAAUAUUGGACAAUGGGCGAAAGCCUGAUGCAGCCAUGCCGCGUGUAUGAAGAAGGUCUUCGGGUUGUAAAGUACUUUAAGCGGGGAGGAAGGGAAGUAAGUUAAUACCUUGCCUUAUUGACGUUACCAGCAGAAGAAGCACCGGCUAACUUCGUG
rnacentral:rRNA from 1 species